rnacentral:tRNA from 1 species
GCCCUUGUGGCGGAACUGGUAGACGCGCCCGAUUGCCAUUCGGGUGGUUCGCUGCUCCAACAGCGACCGUGCGGGUUCGAAGCCCGCCAAGGGCACCA